CUAACCGGAAAGCUCCAAUAAUUUGCAGCAACGGGGCUUUUUGCAGCAGCCGGCUGUCUUACUCGUAUAAGGCAGGCUAGUUGGCUAUUUUCUGUCCUAAGAGACAGCUUUGCAUGAUUUUUAAUGACGGCGCCUUUGCUUUCCUGGUCGGAGAAAGUGCUUCGGCUGCUUCGGAAAAUGGACAACUUUAAUCUCCCAGGUUCCAGUCGUGCACAGUGUCUAAAGUUUGAAGUAGAUGGGGUGCAGGUGGGGUGGAUACCUGCAACUGUGGUGCCUGUGCUGAGCAGGUUUCCCCAAGUAUUCACCCUGCCACAGCGGGGCGCUGUAGCACUGUGCCCCAGCCUGGACACCUACAGCAGCAGGUCUGAAGCUGUGCAUGAUGUCAUCAAGGCACUGAGGGAGGAGAACCAUUUUACCUGUCUGAGGGGGUGGAGAGAGGAGAAGUAUGAAGUAAGGGCAAGAUACUGUGACAGUCCAUUACUGUGUAUGGAGAGAGCAGCAACCAGCCUCUUUGGGGUGAAGCGCUACGGUGUCCAUGUGAAUGGUUAUACUCGAGGAGCGGAUGGGGCGAUAAGCAUUUGGUUGGCACGACGCUCCCCCACCAAACAGACCUACCCUGGGAAACUGGACAACCUGGCAGCUGGUGGGUUGGCCGCAGGAAGCAGUGUGAAGCAGACCCUGAUCAAAGAGUGCCAAGAGGAAGCAUGCAUCCCAGAAUGCAUUGCUGAGACUGCCCAACCAGUGGGGACAAUCAGCUACACCUAUGAGGAUGAAGAGGGCGUGUUUCCUGAGAGCCAGUUUGUGUUUGACCUGCAGCUGCCGGUCCACUUCAGGCCUCAGAUCGGCGAUGGCGAGGUGCAGGACUUCCUCCUGUAUCCCAUAGAGCAGGCGAAGGACGCGCUGGUGAGUGAGGACUUCAAACCCAACAGCGCAAUGGUGCUUCUGGACUUCCUGAUCAGAAACUCCUACAUACAGCCAGACUCUGAGCGGUAUUACCAGGAGUUUGUGGUGGGACUGCACAGACCUCUCUGACAGCAGAGGACAGCGGAAUCCGCUACGGACGAGAGGAGAACUCCAGGGCGGCGGCCAUCUUGUGUCCAAGCGGACAGCCGACUUCCCCCACGACCAUCAGCCGACUUCCCCCACGACCAGCAGCCGACUUCCCCACAACUAAGGGACUUAAAUUUUUCAGGUUCAUCAUUAAGUUCGUAUUACUGGAUCAGUCCCACUCCUUGGGAAGACCCUGCAGAAUUUCUGUGUCCGUAAAUAAGAGUGGUGGUUCUGACGACCCGUGUCGAUGUCUUGAAACUGCUUUGUGGCCACAAAGGCUGUUCAGGCCCUAACAACACGAACAGCCACGCGGGGUCAAUAAGCGUGCAUCCGUUUGCACUGUGUGAAUGUUACAUGUGUGAGAGAGGGUCAUUUAAGGCAGGGUUCAAAAACUGCAUUACUGUGGGGUUCCAGAAAAGAAAUUCUGUUUCCCUUUUCAGGAUGCUCUUCACAUUUUCAUAUUUCAUAAAUAAAACCAAACCUUGUCUGGCUGAUACAUCCUUUGAAAUGUAAAAAUUGUCAUUACGAAAUACACAGUGUGUAAGGCUAAUUGUUUUCAGCUUUUUAACUGAACAUUUCUUAACUGAGCAUUUUAAUGCUGAUGUCACAAUCAUUACAUUACAUUACAGGCAAGAGUGGCCUAAUAACCUACUCUUCUCAGGGUUGAACUGCUACUGCAUGGCAGCCUGUAGUGGGCACUGGAUGUGUGAAAUAUUUAAGGUUUAAGAGAGGGAGCGAAAGGACUAAAGGAUCGGGAACUACUGACGUACGGCACCAUUUACACGCCCAGUAAUGUACUGUAAAUAUCCUGUGAGGCAGAAUCCAGAGCUGGAGAAAAUGCACCUACGUCAUACCACUGUGAGAAUCAACUUGAACUCUGAAAUGAUACAAAACAUGAAAAACGACUGGUCAAAGGAGCAAGCAUGUCGCUAGCAGCGGCGUUACACCUGUCAGUGUAGUGGCACAGGCCUACCAUUAAAAUGGCCACAGACAAAAGUCACUUGCAAAAGAUUGCAAUACGUUUAACGUUUAUGAAACAUGUAACGUCAGUUUAAUAAAAGUCAGGCAAGUAAGCAUUAGACUCGCUUCACCACUGCAGUGGGUGGAGCCACCAUCACACCAGCAUAACCGCCACGCCUAGUGGCUUCGGACAAAAGAAAUGACAGGAGCACGGUUACCCUAAAAACAAUUUAUUUUUCUUAAAGUACGUUUAAAAGCAGACUGAGGAAAUUCCAGGAUGCGUGUGUACAAAAGGUUAUUUGCACCAAGAUUUAUUUUCUGUUGCUCAGUUUUUUUCUUCCGUUUUUUUUUUUUACAACAAUCAAAUGCAAGGUCUUAAAAAGUUAAUAGUAUAAUAUUUAGUUGUUUGCUCUUUUUCUUUUUUUUAUUACUUUUUAUACUUUUUUUCAUUUUUCUUUUGAAGGUAAAGUUGCAGACUUUGCGAUAGAGGCGAGAGACACAAGGAUGAGCCAGUAGAGUUUCACACUGAAUAAAAUAUACAAUACAGGAGCCGUAAAGGGGAAACAACCACAAUAAUAAUAAAAAAAAGACAAAAAAGGAGGGGGUAAAUGGAGUGAAAGAUGGAGGGAAUAACUGACUUGUUUAUCUGGGAAGAGUGAGAUGGCAGCUUAUCACACACUCCCCGUAACCACCCUGGCACAAAAAACCCAAGUACUUAAUCUGAAAACCCUUUUAUAGAAUCAAAUACUAAAUAAUACCACUUUCCAUCACCUGACUGCAUACCCACUGGUGUGCUGCAAGGGGAAUUCAUCCUGAUCAAAUUCAUCUCUA